ensembl:lncRNA
GGGUCUACUGCAGGCAGAGGCUGGGUGACCUGCAGUAGUAUGUCAUUAAGAAGCGCACUGCGUUUGAGAAGGAAAGACGUGCACUAGGAGGUGGUUGGGAAGUUGCCUUAUCUGACCGAAUUUCGAUUACUACAAGAAACACCUUUCCCUUCAAAUAUGAAGUGAACCAGCAAUAUUGCCCACUAAUCUUACUGCAGGUAAUAUGAAGUCAAGCCACCUUCCAGACCAAGUGGCUCAGAUACCAUAUAACACUCAGUAACCCAAGCCACUCUGGCUGUCCAGAGCUGGAUUAAGAACUUGGGUUUAGGACGUUUGUCUGAGGGCGCAGACCUACGGACUAAGAUGUCAGUGCCAAGCCUCCUGGUUUAUCGCUAUUCUACAAUCAAUAUCUGGGAAGCAAAGCCAGCCGCUUUGCGUCUGCCCAUCGAUGGAUAGAUGGAUGAAAGUUACGGUGCAUAUCUCAGUGGAGUUCUAUGCAGCUAUAGAGAAAACGGGAAUCAUGACAUUCACAGAAAAAAAAAAACACAUGGAACUGGAAUUAGUGGUUGUACUGAGAGAAUUAGCUAGGCUAAAAGACAAGUGCCACGUGUUUCCCUUACUCACAAAGCCUAG